GCCAGCCGCUUCGUCACCCAUCGCUCCGAUGAUGUAGUCGUUGCUUUGCUCGAUCUCGUCCGCAGCACCGGCUCCACUUGACUCGUCGUGGCGUACCCGGGCCACCUUGCGCACCGGCAAAUCUCGGCCAUGGCGAACCCCACGGCGAGGGAGCCGUUGGCCGGUGCAAGGCGUGCCGCUACCGCCCCAACUCGCUCGCCCCGCGCCUUCCGGAGCUGCCGGGAAGGGCUACGCGGCCGGCGGGGAUUGGUGCUCGGGAGGGGAACGGGCGGCCGCUGGUGGGGAUUCGAUUCUCG
rnacentral:lncRNA from 1 species